rnacentral:lncRNA from 1 species
CUCAAAUGUCACAUAACGAUGCAUUCAUUUCAUUCUUAUCCAAAGCAUGCAUAGAAACAUAGCCAAAGCUUUGGAUAUCAUAUCAAACACAUAGAAGGUGAAGUGGGAUCAUAACAUAAUAUGGUCCAUCCAUUUCUGAAUGACCAACAAACAUAAGUCUCCCACGUCUGGGAGCUCCAUCCACCCACGUCUGAGUGAAGUCAUAGGGGGCCGGCAGAGCAUCGCGGGCUCUAAGCAUAACUCCCUUUACCAUUUCUA